GAAUGGGAGGAGUGUUUACAAAAUACAAAUAAGAUAUUUAUCGACCGUUUAUACUCAGUUUCAUUAAAUAAAAAGACAAGAAUCUUGUACAGGAACAUUACCGAAUAAAUUGUUAGCUUUAUUUAAAGACAUUCACGUUAGUUUCAAUUAGUUUAAGUAAAGAUGAGCAUGUCUCGCUGCUACUCGUUGAUGAAAUGUUUGCUGAUUAUAUGCAACAUUUUAUUUCUCAUCGUGGGCGUGGGGGUGUGCGGGUUCGCGGGCUGGGCGCUGUGGGACGGGCGCGCGUCGGAGACCA
rnacentral:misc_RNA from 1 species